UUCUGUCUAAGGGUCAGCAGGGCUCCCGAUUGGGUGAGAACCCUAGCCUCCCUCGGUCCCUCCUCUCCCUUCGCUCUUGCAGCGGCCCGCCUCCCACAUCCUCGCACCGCCCCCGCUGCUCUCCCUCGCGCUGCCCCGCCGCCCCUGCCGCUCUCCUUGCGUCGUCGCCUCCGCUUGCCUCGCCAUCGCUCCCUCGGUGCUUAGCAGGGGGAGCGCGGGUCACCGUCGGCUCUCGCGAGAGGUCACCUCCCCCGGUCAACUCUGGCCACCUCCACCACCACACACUGGCAGGAGCCCACCGCCACUCAUCCUUCUCCUCCAUCGCAUGGUCAUCACCGGGAGGGGGAGUGGCUCUGCCUGGAGGCGUCGCUAUCGGCUGGAGGAGCGCCGGACCAUCGUCUUAGGGUUCAUGCACCUCUGGGAAGAAGGUGAACCGAGGUGAGUCGCCUCCAAUCCAUUGUGCGAAGUCAGCAGGGGCUGGAUCCCAACGGGCAAAGAUGCACUCCUCCAGAGCUGCUGGGAAGAAGAAGAAGAAGAUGGGUAAGGUCCUCUUGCUCUUUUAUGUUGAUUUAGCAGACGAAAAAAAUAGGAAGAAAAAUGCAGAUCUAUGUUUACUCGAAAAAGUUUGGGAUACUAACUAGCUAACUGGUGCUCUCAGUCUCAUGAUUUAUCCUGUAGCUGAGUCUCUUUCAUGUGCAUAUCAUAUAUCCUAUGUUAGUGAAUCACCGGCUAGCUGUUGAUUUACUCUUUGUUGUUAAUUGGUUAGAAAAAGUACUACAUGAUCGUGGUUCUAAUUGUGCACCAGGAAAAUAGAACAAUUUCAAGUUUGGUUAUCUCCAUGUGGAACCCCUACCGCGUGAUGGCCUGAUUGUGUUGUCCUGUCUCCAUGAGCAGGAGGUAGUAAUUCCCAAGCUGCAGAAAAUCAAAGAUCAAAUCGUUCCAUGUUUUGAUUAGGUAGGAGCAAGAGGAAGGAGUACCUCCAUGCUCUUGGUAGUACCUCCAUGUUGCAAAUUCCGAGGCACUACCAAUAUAUUGCACUAUUACUACAACUAUCUGGCAAGCUUCACGAGUGAGUACAGAUUGACGGUUAUUACCCGGCAAGCAAAUCCACCUCUGCAGCUAUGCUUGGUAGCUCAUUCUCAAGUGACUUGCAAUCUCUGCUUACUGAGUUAUUGGUGUUAAUUCUACUUCUGUUUGAGCAUUUUGUGUUUUAUUUGAAGCUUUGAAUUAAUCCAGCAUUAGCUUUACUAAUAAUAAAUUUGUUUGCCGGGAGCAGUUUGAACAAGCUUGCAACUAGAGUGCAAAAUAAAUUACCUACACAAAAGGCAGAUGCAGGCCGUCACUGGCGGCUGGCAUUCCCCUCCUCGAGCUGGCGGACUAAUGAUGGAGGACUGCCCCGUGCUCCAGCCACAUGCCACUGGCCCGUGCUCGUCUUGCCUACCCCGUGCUUGUUUGCCCUCUUCGCUCCACCGGCGCCGCUGCUUCUGCUUCUGCUGCUCGCUCGCCAACGGCAGCACAGGUCCGACUUCAAUCUGCUGAUUUCUGUCUGGUGAAGCAAGCAAGUGAGCUGACAAAAUUUCUGUCUGGUGGAGUAGUUAACUGAAGAUAACUGAUUCAGUUAGUGACAAAUUUAGUUAUUGACUAAAUUCAGUAGGUGAUCUAUGUCUGGUGAAGCAAGAAGGUGAUUUAUGUCUGGAGCAGUUAACUGAAGAUUAAUUGGUUCAAGCAAAAUUAGUUGAUUCAAGCAACAAUUUCUUCCCCUGCUCCUGCAAGUCCAUCAAUGGUUGCUGGUGCUGGUGAGAUCUCUCUUCAAAAUGUGUUGUUGAUGGUGCUGAUUUAUGCAAGCCCAUAAGUUCUUGUUGCUGCUGAUUUAUGCAAGCCCAUAUGUUGUUGUUGCUGCUGAUUUAUGCAAGCCCAUAAGUUCUGUUGCUGCUGAUUUGUUGCUGCUGGAAAUGUGUCAUAAUGUGUUGUCACAACACACUGCUUGAUGCACUGUCUGGAGUAGUAACACUGCUGGAACCAUAUUUUAGUCCUCUAGUCUAAGUAGCAGUUCAAAAUUCAGUUCAAGCAGCAGUCUUAGCAGUAGUAAUGGUUGCUUGAUCUGUUUCAUGCAUGUAUAUAUCACCAGUCUAAGCAGUAGUAAUGUUGCUAUGACUAUUUUGUUGAUUAGUGCACCCAUGCCAUCAGUUUUUGAUCUUGA